UUUUUUUUUUGAUACAGGGUAUCACUAUGUAGUGCAGGCCGUCUCGAACUCACUGUGCAGCCCGAGUGGGUCUCAAACUCUUGGCAGUCUUCCGGCCUCAGCCUCCCCAGUGCUGGAAUUACCGGCAUGCGCCCGACCCCACUUCUGGGUCCCCCACUGCUCUUCCCAGCGUGCGUGUCCCUGAGGCCACUGUGAGGGUACAGGACGGCACACAUGUAUGAACAGGUGUAUGUGUGCAGCGGAGUAUUUUGGACAUGCGUGUGCACUAGCGUAUGCAUGCAGUGUGGCGUGUGCACACACCCGUGGCCACGCCUGCCUGCGUCCUCACGCAUGGUGCGGGGAGGGGGCGCAGACAGGCUCCUCCGCCUUACCAAUUGCGGUGCAGGAGCUGACUUCUGCACUUGAACCCGGCCUUCCAGGCGUUAGAAGGGUGAACUUACCGAAGUAAGAGGCCGGGACAUGUUUUAGUUACCAGUCCGCGCGCCCGUGCCCAGCUUUCAAGCAGCGAGGAGAGCAGUGGGCGGAGAUUGCCCUGCGCUUCCACACCUUGCCGGCAGAGGACAGGCGAACACAGCAGCGGGAGCGGCGGCCGCGGGAAGCCGGCCCAGGGAGGAGCUGGCCUUGCAGCCUGGGCAAAAUCAGGUCCCUUGGCCUGGCCGACGGCGUCCGGGUGCAGCUCCGUGGCUCUGGGUGGUCGCUGACUUCCGGCCCAGGGGCUUAGGGCCCCGCAGUGACCAGGCAAGAUGAGGCUGCAGGCAGGACGCCCAGCUCGGUCGCCCAGGGAACUGCAGCAAAAGCGAGCCUCCCAGAGCUGGGGUGCAGGUAGCAUCAGCUGAGGGUGGGAUGCCCCUUCAGUCUCGGUUUGUUUUUUUGUACCAGGGACCUCACAUUUACCAGGCAAGCACAUGAGCCACUGAGCUAAAUCCCUGGCACCUUCUUUUCUUUCUUGGGACAGGGUCUCGGUAUGUAGUUAGUUCAGCCUAACCUUGAACUCACUGUGUAGGCCACGCUGGCUUUGAACUCAAGGCACUCCUCCUGCCUCAGCCUCCUGAGUGUUGCUGAGAUGACAGAUGUGCGUCACCACACCUGGCUGUCAGCCUUGCCCCUGGCAGUGAUCCCAAAGGAUCUGGGUCUAAUCUAGCAAAGGUGAGGGAAAUGGGCAAGGGCAUCCUCUUUCAUUUAUUCCUGAACUCAGCAAACACAGCCCCAUCCCCUCCUUUGCUGAGCCCUGCUAAAUGUACACAUUAUGGCUUUUGGGGGGUUCCCACCGAAGAUAGAGGCCCUCAGAGGGCUCAAGGCAUGGGAGGCUGUGGGGCGCGGGAGCGGGCAGCUUUGACCAAGAAGCUGAUGUCUGGAUCCCCCACCUUGCCUGAAGUCAAAGGUGGAGGAGCUGAGGAGCAGGUGACAACCCAGAGUCACACAGCCACAGCCCAGGACUCCUAAGCUCCGACUCCCCCACAAGCUGCCUUGGGGCCUAGGGCUGUGGGAGGGCCCGGAAGUGGGAUGUGUCAUCAGGUGGCUUCUCUAUCCCCAGCUCUGCUGGCACAGCUGCCACCUGCAGGGCCUUGCCCACUGCUGACCUAGAUUUCUCAGCCACACCGUCAACACCUCCAAGGCAGGGCACAGCAUGGCUCUUUGGAGCCCAAACAGCCCUGCACAGUGACCCAGCUUCCACCUCGGGGCAGGGUGGGGCCAGAGCCCAGUGCUGUACUGGCUACCUGGUGCCAAGAGGCCAUCCUGGGGAUCCAGUAUGGUACCUGUGUCCCCUUUCAGUGCUGGGAAGGGCAGACCCAAGGACGGUGCUCAGGACCCCUGUGAAGCAGCUCCCCAAGACCCCUGCACGAGGGGUGCACUGUGUGUGAGGUCCAUUGCUUCUGACUCUUGCAGGUUGCUACUCAGGACUCAGAGCAAUAGGGGUUCCUGGGGCUCCCUGUCCAGUCUCAGGGUCCUUCUCUUCUGUUUUCCUGGGCUGACUGGACCUCCUUGUCCUCCCAGUGUAUCCAGGCCAGCUGAUCAUGCAGCCACGCAUCCCAGAGAGCUCUUGGCGACAUGCAGCAGCCCGUACCCAUCUGACACCCACUCCAGGUGGGACUUGGGGCUGAGCCAGGGCACCAAGGGACAGCGGUUCAGACAGCUGGGUGUUCCCCACUAAGAACAAGAUGGGGCCUGGAGAGUGCAGGGUGCUGGCCAUCAGGGGAAGGACUCUCUGUCCCCAAGAUGCUGCUGCUGGUUCCCCCUAGCCAGGGGACUUAGGCACACGUCUCUCUGAGGUCCUUUGAAGCCAGGAAAUGAUGUGGCCUUAAUUUCUCAUGGAGGAAGGAGCAUUUACACCAGGUAUGGUGAUGCACAGCUGUGCCGUCAGUGUAGACACCCAGCCGGAAGUCCUGGGCACACACCUGGCUGUAAGAGUGGGCUGACCCAGGCCCAGGGCUCAUACAGUACCUGGCAGGGACAGCUGACUUGUGCUGGACCCAGGCAGCCACUCCGACACCCACACACUCAGUGUCCAGCUGUGAAAACCCUGGGAAUCGGGUUACUAGGCCACCUUCUGAACUUCCAGAGGAAAUGUGAUGGUCACCCGAGGGCCAGGCUAGAGACAUCAUCUCCCUACACUACACUUCCUCAUCCUAACUGCACCCCAAGCUGCAGAAUCAGAGCAACCUUGGUCCCUAGGGUCUGGUCUGGAGGGGGGUACUGUGAAGCAGCUCCCCGAGACCCCUGCAAUUGCCUUCUAGGCUAAGGGACAGGCUCCUUACGGAAUUGGGAUAGAGAAGAGCAGGACAAGGGGGCCAGUAGCGGGGUCCCCACUGCUGGAGAGACAAAAAGUUGCAUGUGUUGGCCAGAUCUUGGGAUACUCACCCCAACACCCCAAAAUGGCCUCAGCUGGCCAUACCCCACCCUCUGAGCUCAGCCCCCAGUGUGCCCCAAGUUCUUAUGUUGAACCCUAAUCCUUGAUCCGAUCAUGUUAAACCAUAAUCCUUGAUGCAAUGAAGGUGAGGUCUUUAGAACCAAGAAGAGAGGCCACAGCUGACACCAAAAGUGUUGCCACCUUGACCCACCUGCACUCCAAGAAAAAGCUGCUGAUGUUUACGGACACCCCAUUUAUGGUAUCUCGUUAAAGCAGCCUAAACAGAUGAAGACUAAGCAGACCAAGCCUGCCUGUCAUCCUAGCACUUGGGAGGCUAAGGCAAGAGAAUCACUGUGAAUUUGAACCAGCCUGGAUACAAUAGUGAAUUAAACCAGGCAUGGUGGGGCCUGUAAUCCCAGCACUUGGGAGUCUGAGGCCAGCCUGGGCUACACACUGAGUUGAAGGCCAGCCUACACUACACAGCAAGACCCUGUCUCAAAAAUAAAUAAAGACAAAAUGGGAUGGACCACUGUCUUAGCGCACCUAUGGUCCUCUAACCAGAUACCUGACCCUGUGCAAGUGAUAAAAGGGUAGAGGUGGCUUGAUUCCCAAGGCUGGGAGCCCGAGAAUGAGGUGUCCACCUCUGGUGAGGGCUUCCAGCUCCACUGUCCCGUGUGCGAGGGCAGCAGAAUGUGCAAGUGCAAGAGAAAGGGGCCGAACUUGUCCGUUAUCAGCAGCCAGUUCUGCAAGGAAGCCCCCCCACCCCCCAGUGCUAGCAUCGAUCCCUCUUAAGGGCAGAACCCCAGCUCCAGUCACUUCUUCAACCCUCGGUACCCUCACGUAGGAAAUUCAGUUCCCAGCACAGGGAUUUGGGGUUCACCUGCCAACUCCAGCAGCCCUGUUGGGAUUCAAAUGGGGCCCCUCUGAAUUUGGGGGGGAGGGUGCUGCUUGGGUGCUGUUAAGAGGGAGCCCUUUAAAGGGAAUCAGGCUAAGAGGCCUCCUCUGUUACUGAUGGGAUGAAGGCCUGUAUAGAAGAAUGUGAUGGUGCACCCCCGUGAUCCCAGCUCUCUGGAAGGCUGAAGCAGGAGGAUUGCAAGUUCCAGCCUCGCCUGGGCGAUUUAGUGAUUCAACAAGAAUCUGUGUCAAAGAAAGAAAAGGAAAAGGGCUGGGGCUGUAGCUGAGUGCAAAGACUCCACAUUCAAUCUCUAUUACAGAAAAAAAAAUGUUUGAAAAGAGGCUUCUUUAUUGCCUGACUGGCUCACCUUCUACCUCCAGCCAUGUGGACAUACAGCUUUCUGCAUCGGACAGAUAGACAGGCCUGCUGGGGUCCUGCUCUUGAUCUUGGGCCUUAGGGUCACCAAGUCUGGGGUCGACUUCCAUGGACCUGGGACAAGUGCACCCUGUGCUGCUUGGCAACUGGCAGAUCCCUACAGAGCCUCCCUGAUGCCCCCCUCGGCUUGGAGCUCCCCAAGGAAGUGCCAGGUGACAGACACAUCCGCUGGGAAGUGGGUGACAUCUUGAGCCCUUGGGCAUGGGUCCCUGCUGUCUUCCUGGCCUCUCCUCUACCUAGGGUCCCCGUGGGCCCCGGUCACAGAUGCCCUUCUGGUGCCCACCUUGUCUUCCCUGACUAGCCUCAGCUCUGUAGAUGUGUUGGGGUUCUUUAAGGGCCACACCCCUGUGCCCUGCUGCUCUAUAACCUCUGACCCCAGUGCCCCAGGGCUUCCAGGGACUACGGGACUAGGUGAAGUGGCACAGUCUACAGUCCCAGGUGGCAGGUCUCCCAGACACCAAGCCCUCCCAGGCAGAGCCCAGGGGCAUCUCUACUUCCAGGCUGUGUGGCAUCGAGCAAGUUACUCAACCUCUCUGGAAGAGAAAACAAGCAAUACCUGCCUGGUGAUUACAAGGAGGAUCGCAUUGUCCUGGGCCAGCAUUGCACAAGGGAGCUCAGAACUGCGACUGAUGUCCCCUCCCCUGAGACGAGGGGGAACUGAAACCCGAGGCGAGGGACCCACCCAUCCACCUAACGCGGAGUCACCCUGGUCGCCUCCCUCCUCCUGAAAAUCCUGGGGGGCAACGGGGGGGGGGCACUCACAGUCCUGGUUCAGCGCCUGGCUAGGGAGCAAAAACAGAGGGCCCAGCUGGCCUUCCCUCGGCAGAGGAGGCGUCUCGGUGGGUGUGACAUUCCUGAGUCUCGGGCGCGAUUCAAUCCCUUGAAGGGCGGCCACCAAGCAGGCUCCCCGUCCGCAACAGGAGUCUUGGCUUCGCCCACCUAAAGGAGGUGGAUGCCUGGAAGUGGUCGCCGGAAGACCGAGGCGAUGGGCGUGGCUUGGUGUGGGCGUGGCAGGUGGGCGGCAUCUGCUCUGCUGCACAUGCGCAGAACAGACACCUUACCCGCACACCUACCGCGCCUUCCUACAGCCUGGUUCUCCAUCCUUCGUUUUAAGACUCUGGGAUGCCUCUUGCUCCGGUUGUUGGCUCUCCGUGUUCGAGCUUGUUAGGGUAGAGGUGACGCCACGUGGUGACUGACACAUCUGCUGGUGACAGAGUAGGUGCCAGUGAGUGCUGGCACCAGGAGCGGUGGAAGGAUAGGGCAAUGGGUCGCCUCCCUAUUUAUUUAACAUUAAUACUUUCACUGGAGAUGUCCAUAAUGUGGGCUGCAAAACACUCUCUGUAAAGAAAAAAAAAAGCCACUUACACGACCAUUGAAAUAACCUCUUCUGGGCAUGGUACUGCACGCCCGUAAUUCCAGCACUUGGAAGGCUGAGGCAGGAGGAUCACUGCGUGUUCAAGGCCAGCCUGGGUUACAGAGUGAGUUCAAGGCCAGCCGGAACUGCAUUAGUGAGACCUUGUCUCAGACAAAAAUAAAAUGAAGCUGCUUUCAAAAGCCAGAGUGGUGACACAUGCCUAUAAUCCCAGCACUUUGGAGACAGACAGGAGGAUCACCAUGCAUUCAAGGUCAGCUUGCAUUAUAUAGUGAGACCCCGGAAAAACGAAAAGAAAGUAACCCUAAAAUUACAGGCAGAACCAACAAACGCGAUCAUGCAACGCCUGGUGACAGUCACUGUCAGACCAUGGAAAUGACAGUUGUCCCCUAAAAUGAACGGCCCAGGGACAUCAAAGCUGUUUUAAUUUGUGACAGUGAUGCUUGCACAACAGAAGAGAAAGCCUAGCUAAGCAACCACAGUGGUUUCCUUGUCAUUCUCAGAGGCAGGACCAUGACUACACCCCACCCCAUCCCUCUCCCUGGCAUAUCUGACUUGGGUACUGGGUGUGCAGCCUGGGAACUUGGCCUGGUCGGUUUCUUUUUACUUGGCUGAAAGUCCUACAGCCCUAUCUUCCAGCCAUCUGUAUCUAUGUUUUAGAAUUCACCUAACAGAUGUUCACAGCAGACAACCAUCUUUCUUCUUCAGAGUUGGGGAUGUGGGAGGUAUGAUGUAUGUGCCACUACCCCCACCCCGCCAUCUUCCCAUGUCAUUGCUUACAGUAGACAAACCUGAUCCACAAGCUAGGAAAACACAAUUCAGGUCCAGUCCCUGUAGCUCAGAGGGUGUGAUUUCAGCCAAUCACUAUCAUCUAUAAGUCUCGGUUUCCACCUCGGGGGAAAUACUCGUGCCUCAGUGGGCUUCAUGGGACCCAGCGUUGGCUUCUAUCUUCCAAACCAGGGUAUAAAUUCCUUUGAUAAAACUCAGAAAUGGCUGGGGAUGGUAGCUCACACCUGCCAUCCCAGCACUCAAGAGACUGAGGCAGGAGGAUUGUGGUGAGUUCGAGGCCAGCCUGACCCUAUCUCAAGAAUAAAUAGAUAAAUAAGUAAAUAAAUAAGAUUUAGGACUUGAAAGAAGUUUCACACCUGAGACUCAGAGUUUCUGGCUCUGGACCCAUCUUACCAAAGCCCGGUGUCUUCCCUGUUGUGGGCUGACUUUUGUCCCCUCGAAAAGAGGCUAACUCCCCUCAGCCUCUUGUGAAUAGGGCCUGAUUUGAAAACAGAGUCUCUACAGAUAUAAUCCACUUAAGUGAGGUCAUGAUGUGAGUCCUGAUCCCGUACAAUCAUGGGUUUUUUGUCUUUUUGUCUUGAGCAGGGUCUCACUAUAUAGUUCAGCCUGCCCUUGAACCCAUUAUGUAGCCCAGGCUGGCCUUGAGCUCAGAGUGAUCCUCCUGCCUCAGCCUUCUGAGUGCUAGGAUGACAGGUAUUCACCACCAUGAGGAGAAAGAGCUGUCAUGCAAAAGCUGAAGCCCCCAGAGAGGUCAUGCAGAACAGGUAGAGACUGACUUCUUGAGCCCCAAGCCCAGGGACACUGAAGAUGCCUAGCCACACCAGAAGCCCAGGCCAUACCAGGCAAGAUGAGCCAGAGUCCCUGAGGGACCCAGCCCUGCCUGCACCUUGGUCUUGAAUCUCCCAGUUCUGGGCUCUGAGGAUACAAACAGCUACUGUUGGUUGAAGACAGCAUUGGUAGUCCCCGAUGCUCCUGAGUCAGAGCACCACUCGGAGCUCUGAUGUCCCCUGCAGGAAGCAGGUGGCCUCGCUCUCACCCCUUGACAAAGUCCAUGUGCUCUGGAGAAGGGACACUGCUUAGGCUGUCCCCUCCAGACCCAACCCUGGAGAGGUGGAUGCUCUGUGUGUCCUGCCUCAGGAGGUGGCGGUGGGGACACAUCUAUGCCCAGCUGGGCUAGCUGGACCAGCCUGAGGGGCAGCCUCACUCCUGGCCUCUAACCAGCUGGGCGGGAAUGCAAGGGAGGCUGACAAGCUCUGCGCGGGCUUCAGAGCCCAGCCCACAGGCUGCCGGGCCUCAGGGACACGGGGCGCACUGGCUGGGCUGGGUGGUGCCCUCACUCCCCUCCCCUUGCACAGGCCCUUCCACUGGCCUGAGACCUUUCGAGGCUCUGCCAUGAGUGGCUGGUGGGGUUGCAGGUGGCCCCAGGUCCCACGCUAGGCCUCCAUCUGUCCUCUUCCUACAGCAGGUGGGAGGCUGGAUAGGGGGAGGCCAGGAAAAGGGGGCUCCUUUUUUGCAUACAGCUCCCCAUUCUCCUCCCUGAGCCUGCAUCCUCAGCCGCAGGGUGGCCCAUGGAAACAGACUGCUUUCUGGGGCUCUCAUCUUAAUGACAGCGGGCUCCCCUUCCAUCUUGCAGUCCUUGCUCAGGCUUAGGUCCUCCUGAAGGAAAGGGGGGCACCCUCCUUGCUGGGAGGGUGUGGGCAGGUGAUUGCUCAUCCACCCAAGGCCGCACUAACAGCUCUGGGCCUGGGAGUGUUUUUAUUUUUGAUAUUACCUUUCUUUUGUUUUUGUGAUCCUGGGAAUUGAACCCAGGACCUUCCCACUGAACUAUGUCCCCUGCCCUUUUUAAAAUUGUUCUUUUUUAGUUUUGAGAUAAGGUCUCACUAAAUUGUCCAGACUAGGUCCAAACUUUCAAUCCCCCUGCCCCAGCCUUCCAGAGGGCUGGGAUCACAAGUGGGAGCCCCCACACCCAGUUGGGCACCCUCUUCUGCCGCACUCACCCAUCGCCUGUUGACUGAGCACCCGCACCGCCCCUUCAAGGGUUAAAAACUUCUCCCCCACCACCCCACCCCACCUCACCCCCUCUCCAGUGGCCUCUCUGGGCAAGGGUGGGGUGAGCUCACUCAGCUGGACAGGCAGUGGGGGAGCAGGUGCUGGUCACCCCAACCUUGAGAUGGACCUUGAGCCCUGAGAUGAAGGUGCAAGGCCACCAAGUGGUGCCCUGAUCUGCCCUUAGGGUAAGGGACAGUGCUCAGGCAACUCCCCCUCUGAGCUGGGGACCAGAGACACACUGAAAGAGGCACCUUGGCCUUACAGGACCAGGGCUCAGUGACCCUGAAAGACAUGGCACUCCUCAGUAUUGUGCCUGGAGUAAGAUCUACAGGAAGGUCUAAAUUCCAACCUGCAGUCCCCUGAGGUCUUCCUGUCAGAGUUUGGUCUCCCCAGCCCCUUCUUCAUGUACAGUACUGGGGCCUUUGCACUGAUCUACACCCCCAGCCCUUUCUGUAUUUUUUAUUUUGAAACAAGUUCUUGCUCAGUCGAUUAAUUGCCAAGGUUGCGUUUGAAUUUGUGACCCUCUUGUCUCAGCCUCCCAGCCAGUUGGGAUUACAGCCUACACAGCAUACCCAGCUCUACAUCCCAUCCCAUCCAUCCUUUUAAAAACCUGAGAGAGAGGUAGCAAGGUUCGUAAGGCUGCAUGUGAGCUGGGUAUGUGCCUGCAGGCCAUGUCGUGCCUGAUCCCUGGGGGCAAAUCACAGUGACAUUGCAGGCCCUGGCUGCCACUUGAGUGGUGGCUGACAGCAGUGGUGGACAUCAACAAAGGUCCCUCUAAGGAAAGGACCCGCCGUGCUGCCAACCAGCUUCCUUUGCCCCAGGUUCCUGGGGACACCUGCCCUUGAUCCGUGGUGGCUCACACUGGUGUUCAGCACUGUCUGUCCCUGCCUUUGAAGGUGGCCACAGUUGGAACUCAGAGCAGGGGACCAUUUGGAGGUUCUGUGACAUGAAGUCACUCACGCAAGGCUUGUGACAAGUCUGCAUUGGAGUCAUCCAGAACUGUGUCUGUGUGCCUGGUGUGACGGCGCACUCCUGUCAUCCCAGCACUGGGAGGCUGAGGCAGGAGAUUCGCUGGGUGUCUGAGGCCAGCCUAGGCUACAUAGAGAGACUUUGUCUCAAAAACAAACAAACAAACAAACAAAUAAAACUCCCAGGCCUGAACAAUGAGGUGCCCUGCAUAAGUUGCCCCCAUCACCAGAGGUGCUCUUGUCUGCUGUACCUGAAUUCAGCCUGUUCUCUCCCCUCUUGUGGAGCCGUACCAUUGAGGCCAGGCUGGGGUUGUCCUGUCCCACAUAGAGAUGACUGAUGGGCUGUGUGACCUGUGCCAUACGAGUUCAGGUAGCACAGGGACUGCUCUUUGCCAGCAUCACCCACGAGUCUACCUUCACUGGAGUGAUUGGGAUAUUUCACCCAGGUUUCCCAGGAGCACACAUCUGUGGUCCAUCCACAGCACGGUCCGGCAGGGAGGGGACAGAGCUGGCCUGGGAGCCAGGCAGCCAGCAUUGCAAUCUUUGCACCCAGGACCGACUCCUGUGCCUGCCAAGGGACUCUCCCCAGUAAGAGGCUGGGGUCUAAGGGGUUUGAUGGAAAAUAACCAUGUAAGUUUAAGUUUUAAAAAUUAAUUACAGUAAAAGACACAUUCUUGUGAAUCACAUCGGAAUCCUCCCCGGCUUUGCACAUACUUGUCCCUUUGUCCUGGCCGCUUCCUGCAGCAGCUCUGCAGUGCUCUUUCCUGAGGGUCUUUAGCUGCGCUGUCCUGACUACCUCCAUGUCCUGAAUGGAUUCGAAACCUCUCCCUUUCCUGGUCAUUGUGACUUUGGGGAAGGGCCAGAAGUCACAUGGCACCAAAUCCGGUGAAUCAGGUGGACGAGGAGCUGGUGUCGUGUUUUUACAAGUCUUGCUUUCAUAUGGGUGACGCUUGGUGACAGCUGUCACUGUAUUUUCGAUCACACCUCAUAUCACUCUGCACCCUUUGAAGACAAUGGGGCCCAAACAAGGGCAAAAGCAACAAAAACCCUGAAAUGAAAAAGAUCCAGCACCCGAUGGACUCCCUAACACCUGUACCCACAAGAGGACCCAGUUGGGGGAGGCAAGGUCAGGGCUAAGCUCAGACUCAGGGUAACAGGGACCCAGAAUCCCAGCCCCCUGAAAUAAUAUGAACAGCAGGACUACUAAAUCUUUCAUUAUUUCCCGUUUCCCCUUGAGCAUACUGACUUUGCAAUAAAAAAGCUGUCAUUGACA